rnacentral:snoRNA from 1 species
AAACUAUGCAUCGGGCGUUUUCUAAUUAACUCCUUGAAUUGCUCCCAUGCUUCAUAUAAUGUUUCGUCCUCAGAUUUCCAAAAGGACAUAAUAUCAUUCCUCAGUUU